rnacentral:lncRNA from 1 species
ACAGUACUCAUCAUCCAACCAUUUAUGCAAAGUAAUCCUAAGCCAUUCUGAUUCCUAACCAAAUUCAAAGAAAAAAAAGGUAAAAAUCUCAACUAACUUUUCGGUCCAUUAGCCAUAAUUAUUUAAAAAAGAGUACCUGCAAGGCCAUGGUUGGCUCUAACCAAUGAUCUGGAAUACAUAGGUCUUCAACUUGGUCAUCAGAUUCAGGUAUUGGAUGAGAAUAGGACUUCACAAGUGUUGAGGAAUGAAUAUGAGUACGAUGAAACGCUGCUAAAAAAGGUAGAGGAUGUUGGUGACUGACGGU